rnacentral:rRNA from 1 species
GAUGAACGCUAGCGGCAGGCCUAAUACAUGCAAGUCGGACGGGAUCUAGAUCUAAGCUUGCUUAGAUUUAGUGAGAGUGGCGCACGGGUGCGUAACGCGUGAGCAACCUACCCAUAUCAGGGGGAUAGCCCGGAGAAAUCCGGAUUAAGACUGCAUAACACAACGACUCGGCAUCGAGAUGUUGUUAAAUAUUUAUAGGAUAUGGAUGGGCUCGCGUGACAUUAGCUAGUUGGUAAGGUAACGGCUUACCAAGGCUACGAUGUCUAGGGGCUCUGAGAGGAGAAUCCCCCACACUGGUACUGAGACACGGACCAGACUCCUACGGGAGGCAGCAGUAAGGAAUAUUGGUCAAUGGAGGGAACUCUGAACCAGCCAUGCCGCGUGCAGGAUGACUGCCCUAUGGGUUGUAAACUGCUUUUGUCCAGGAAUAACCACCACUACGUGUAGUGGCUUGAAUGUACUGGAAGAAUAAGGAUCGGCUAACUCCGUGCCAGCAGCCGCGGUAAUACGGAGGAUCCGAGCGUUAUCCGGAUUUAUUGGGUUUAAAGGGUGCGUAGGCGGCUCAUUAAGUCAGGGGUGAAAGACGGCAGCUCAACUGUCGCAGUGCCUUUGAUACUGAUGAGCUUGAAUGUGGUUGAAGAUGGCGGAAUGAGACAAGUAGCGGUGAAAUGCAUAGAUAUGUCUCAGAACUCCGAUUGCGAAGGCAGCUGUCUAAGUCAUUAUUGACGCUGAUGCACGAAAGCGUGGGGAUCGAACAGGAUUAGAUACCCUGGUAGUCCACGCCCUAAACGAUGAUAACUCGAUGUUGGCGAUACACAGUCAGCGUCUUAGCGAAAGCGUUAAGUUAUCCACCUGGGGAGUACGCCCGCAAGGGUGAAACUCAAAGGAAUUGACGGGGGCCCGCACAAGCGGAGGAGCAUGUGGUUUAAUUCGAUGAUACGCGAGGAACCUUACCCGGGCUUGAAAGUUACUGAAUUAUCUAGAGAUAGAUAAGUCCUUCGGGACAGGAAACUAGGUGCUGCAUGGCUGUCGUCAGCUCGUGCCGUGAGGUGUUGGGUUAAGUCCCGCAACGAGCGCAACCCCUAUGUUUAGUUGCCAGCAUGUAAUGAUGGGGACUCUAAACAGACUGCCAGCGUAAGCUGUGAGGAAGGUGGGGACGACGUCAAGUCAUCAUGGCCCUUACGUCCGGGGCUACACACGUGCUACAAUGGAUGGUACAGCGGGCAGCUACCUGGUAACAGGAUGCUAAUCUCGAAAAGCCAUUCACAGUUCGGAUUGAGGUCUGCAACUCGACCUCAUGAAGUUGGAUUCGCUAGUAAUCGCGUAUCAGCAAUGACGCGGUGAAUACGUUCCCGGGCCU